UUCUGUAGGUGAACUGCGGAAGGUCAUUGACGAGAGCUAUGAAUGAUCGAGUGAUCUGUGCAACUGUGGGGGUGCGACGACUUUUUGAUGUCGCUUUCUUCCAUCGCACUGCUCCUGCUUCCAUGGGUGCUAGAUUCUGUGGGGGAUAAAGAACAGGCUAUGGGCGUGGUCAAACGCCAAGGGAGAGCAAAUGUUAAGCUGCCAACGAGUGUGUUGUGCGUCGCCAGGUCCAGUGGGGUUUGGCAAUCGAACAUGGAACGACUCUCGACAACGGAUAUCUUGGCUCUCGCAUCGAUGAAGAACGCAGCGAAAUGCGAUACGUGUUGUGAAUUGUAGAAUCCCGUGAACCAUCCAUUUUUUGAACGCAAGUUGCGCCCGAGGAUGCAAGCCAAGGGCACUCCUGCAUGGGCGUAGUGCGUUAUGUCGCUCCUUGCGGAGGCAUGGAAUCGCUGGUUUGGAUCAGUGGCCCCCCGCCAGGAGGCGAUCGAUGGCACCCUGUGCUACGGCAUGGCGUGUUGAAACGUUGGGCGAUGGUUGGCUGUAGACACGGUAAGAGGUGGAUGCCACCGAGUGUUUGUGGUGUUGGCCAGUAAGAACCGAUGUUUCAGUGCGACAAGCAGAUGCCCCUCGCAAAUCCAACUCCAUGCUCCAUGGUGUGGAAUCGUGACCCCAUGUUAGGUGAGCUAGCCGCUGAGUAA
rnacentral:rRNA from 1 species